rnacentral:rRNA from 1 species
UACAGAGGGGGCAAGCGUUGUUCGGAAUUACUGGGCGUAAAGGGUGCGUAGGCGGUCCGCUAAGUUGGAUGUGAAAGCUCUGGGCUUAACCCAGAGCCUGCAUUCAAAACUGACGGGCUAGAGUUCUGGAGGGGGUAGCGGAAUUCCUGGUGUAGCGGUGAAAUGCGUAGAUAUCAGGAGGAACACCGGUGGCGAAGGCGGCUACCUGGACAGAAACUGACGCUGAGGCACGAAAGCUAGGGGAGCAAACAGG